UUCCCCAGCAAUGCAGAAGAGACACCGUGUUGUUGUUGAUGUUCUUAUAUCAGUCAGGGGCAGAACAGAUGGUAGUCCUUGGUUCAUCCUAACUUGAUACCUGGCCUGGUGACCAAAGCUGUUUUAUACCUAGGACUCAUAA